rnacentral:rRNA from 1 species
UACGGAGGGUGCAAGCGUUAUCCGGAUUCACUGGGUUUAAAGGGUGCGUAGGCGGGCAGGUAAGUCCGUGGUGAAAUCUCUGAGCUUAACUCAGAAACUGCCAUGGAUACUAUUUGUCUUGAAUAUUGUGGAGGUAAGCGGAAUAUGUCAUGUAGCGGUGAAAUGCUUAGAUAUGACAUGGAACACCAAUUGCGAAGGCAGCUUACUACACAGUCAUUGACGCUGAGGCACGAAAGCGUGGGGAUCAAACAGG